rnacentral:rRNA from 1 species
AAAUUGAAGAGUUUGAUCAUGGCUCAGAUUGAACGCUGGCGGCAGGCCUAACACAUGCAAGUCGAACGGUAACAGGAAGAAGCUUGCUUCUUUGCUGACGAGUGGCGGACGGGUGAGUAAUGUCUGGGAAACUGCCUGAUGGAGGGGGAUAACUACUGGAAACGGUAGCUAAUACCGCAUAACGUCGCAAGACCAAAGAGGGGGACCUUCGGGCCUCUUGCCAUCGGAUGUGCCCAGAUGGGAUUAGCUAGUAGGUGGGGUAACGGCUCACCUAGGCGACGAUCCCUAGCUGGUCUGAGAGGAUGACCAGCCACACUGGAACUGAGACACGGUCCAGACUCCUACGGGAGGCAGCAGUGGGGAAUAUUGCACAAUGGGCGCAAGCCUGAUGCAGCCAUGCCGCGUGUAUGAAGAAGGCCUUCGGGUUGUAAAGUACUUUCAGCGGGGAGGAAGGGAGUAAAGUUAAUACCUUUGCUCAUUGACGUUACCCGCAGAAGAAGCACCGGCUAACUCCGUGCCAGCAGCCGCGGUAAUACGGAGGGUGCAAGCGUUAAUCGGAAUUACUGGGCGUAAAGCGCACGCAGGCGGUUUGUUAAGUCAGAUGUGAAAUCCCCGGGCUCAACCUGGGAACUGCAUCUGAUACUGGCAAGCUUGAGUCUCGUAGAGGGGGGUAGAAUUCCAGGUGUAGCGGUGAAAUGCGUAGAGAUCUGGAGGAAUACCGGUGGCGAAGGCGGCCCCCUGGACGAAGACUGACGCUCAGGUGCGAAAGCGUGGGGAGCAAACAGGAUUAGAUACCCUGGUAGUCCACGCCGUAAACGAUGUCGACUUGGAGGUUGUGCCCUUGAGGCGUGGCUUCCGGAGCUAACGCGUUAAGUCGACCGCCUGGGGAGUACGGCCGCAAGGUUAAAACUCAAAUGAAUUGACGGGGGCCCGCACAAGCGGUGGAGCAUGUGGUUUAAUUCGAUGCAACGCGAAGAACCUUACCUGGUCUUGACAUCCACAGAACUUUCCAGAGAUGGAUUGGUGCCUUCGGGAACUGUGAGACAGGUGCUGCAUGGCUGUCGUCAGCUCGUGUUGUGAAAUGUUGGGUUAAGUCCCGCAACGAGCGCAACCCUUAUCCUUUGUUGCCAGCGGUCCGGCCGGGAACUCAAAGGAGACUGCCAGUGAUAAACUGGAGGAAGGUGGGGAUGACGUCAAGUCAUCAUGGCCCUUACGACCAGGGCUACACACGUGCUACAAUGGCGCAUACAAAGAGAAGCGACCUCGCGAGAGCAAGCGGACCUCAUAAAGUGCGUCGUAGUCCGGAUUGGAGUCUGCAACUCGACUCCAUGAAGUCGGAAUCGCUAGUAAUCGUGGAUCAGAAUGCCACGGUGAAUACGUUCCCGGGCCUUGUACACACCGCCCGUCACACCAUGGGAGUGGGUUGCAAAAGAAGUAGGUAGCUUAACCUUAGGGAGGGCGCUUACCACUUUGUGAUUCAUGACUGGGGUGAAGUCGUAACAAGGUAACCGUAGGGGAACCUGCGGUUGGAUCACCUCCUUACCUUAAAGAAGC